GAUGAACGCUGGCGGUGUGAAUAAUACAUGCAAGUCGAGCGAACAGACGAGGAGCUUGCUCCUCUGACGUUAGCGGCGGACGGGUGAGUAACACGUGGAUAACCUACCUAUAAGACUGGGAUAACUUCGGGAAACCGGAGCUAAUACCGGAUAAUAUAUUGAACCGCAUGGUUCAAUAGUGAAAGACGGUUUUGCUGUCACUUAUAGAUGGAUCCGCGCCGCAUUAGCUAGUUGGUAAGGUAACGGCUUACCAAGGCAACGAUGCGUAGCCGACCUGAGAGGGUGAUCGGCCACACUGGAACUGAGACACGGUCCAGACUCCUACGGGAGGCAGCAGUAGGGAAUCUUCCGCAAUGGGCGAAAGCCUGACGGAGCAACGCCGCGUGAGUGAUGAAGGUCUUCGGAUCGUAAAACUCUGUUAUUAGGGAAGAACAAAUGUGUAAGUAACUAUGCACGUCUUGACGGUACCUAAUCAGAAAGCCACGGCUAACUACGUG
rnacentral:rRNA from 1 species